rnacentral:rRNA from 1 species
UGACACGUAGGCACCAAGCGUUGUCCGGAUUUAUUGGGCGUAAAGAGCUCGUAGGCGGUUCGGUAAGUCGGGUGUGAAAACUUUGGGCUCAACCCAAAGCGUGCACUCGAUACUGCCGUGACUAGAGUUCGGUAGGGGAGUGGGGAAUUCCUAGUGUAGCGGUGAAAUGCGCAGAUAUUAGGAGGAACACCGGUGGCGAAGGCGCCACUCUGGGCCGAAACUGACGCUGAGGAGCGAAAGCGUGGGUAGCAAACAGG